rnacentral:rRNA from 1 species
AACGCGAAGAACCUUACCAAGUCUUGACAUCCCCCUGACCGGUCAGUAACGUGGCCUUUCCUACGGGACAGGGGAGACAGGUGGUGCAUGGUUGUCGUCAGCUCGUGUCGUGAGAUGUUGGGUUAAGUCCCGCAACGAGCGCAACCCUUAUCUUCAGUUGCCAUCGGGUAAUGCCGGGCACUCUGGAAGGACUGCCGGUGACAAGCCGGAGGAAGGUAGGGAUGACGUCAAGUCAUCAUGGCUCUUACGAGUUGGGCUACACACGUGCUACAAUGGCAACUACAGAGGGUGGCAAUACAGUGAUGUUGAGCUAAUCCUAAAAAGUUGUCUCAGUUCGGAUUGUUCCCUGCAACUCGAGAACAUGAAGUUGGAAUCGCUAGUAAUCGCGGAUCAGCAUGCCGCGGUGAAUACGUUCCCGGGUCUUGUACACACCG